rnacentral:ncRNA from 1 species
CGCUCGCGUGUGCAGGCGCCACGCCCGGACGAGAGCACCGCCGUACCCGGUCAAGACAAGACGGCGUGAC